rnacentral:rRNA from 1 species
AGAGUUUGAUCCUGGCUCAGGAUGAACGCUGGCGGCGUGCCUAAUACAUGCAAGUCGAGCGAACGGACGAGAAGCUUGCUUCUCUGAUGUUAGCGGCGGACGGGUGAGUAACACGUGGAUAACCUACCUAUAAGACUGGGAUAACUUCGGGAAACCGUAGCUAAUACCGGAUAAUAUUUUGAACCGCAUGGUUCAAAAGUGAAAGACGGUCUUGCUGUCACUUAUAGAUGGAUCCGCGCUGCAUUAGCUAGUUGGUAAGGUAACGGCUUACCAAGGCAACGAUGCAUAGCCGACCUGAGAGGGUGAUCGGCCACACUGGAACUGAGACACGGUCCAGACUCCUACGGGAGGCAGCAGUAGGGAAUCUUCCGCAAUGGGCGAAAGCCUGACGGAGCAACGCCGCGUGAGUGAUGAAGGUCUUCGGAUCGUAAAACUCUGUUAUUAGGGAAGAACAUAUGUGUAAGUAACUGUGCACAUCUUGACGGUACCUAAUCAGAAAGCCACGGCUAACUACGUGCCAGCAGCCGCGGUAAUACGUAGGUGGCAAGCGUUAUCCGGAAUUAUUGGGCGUAAAGCGCGCGUAGGCGGUUUUUUAAGUCUGAUGUGAAAGCCCACGGCUCAACCGUGGAGGGUCAUUGGAAACUGGAAAACUUGAGUGCAGAAGAGGAAAGUGGAAUUCCAUGUGUAGCGGUGAAAUGCGCAGAGAUAUGGAGGAACACCAGUGGCGAAGGCGACUUUCUGGUCUGUAACUGACGCUGAUGUGCGAAAGCGUGGGGAUCAAACAGGAUUAGAUACCCUGGUAGUCCACGCCGUAAACGAUGAGUGCUAAGUGUUAGGGGGUUUCCGCCCCUUAGUGCUGCAGCUAACGCAUUAAGCACUCCGCCUGGGGAGUACGACCGCAAGGUUGAAACUCAAAGGAAUUGACGGGGACCCGCACAAGCGGUGGAGCAUGUGGUUUAAUUCGAAGCAACGCGAAGAACCUUACCAAAUCUUGACAUCCUUUGACAACUCUA